UACGUAGGGGGCUAGCGUUGUCCGGAAUCAUUGGGCGUAAAGAGCGCGCAGGCGGCUGGUCAAGUCCGAUGUGAAAUCUCCCGGCUCAACUGGGAAACUGCAUCGGAAACUGAUCGGCUUGAAGAUGGGAGAGGGUAGUGGAAUUCCCGGUGUAGUGGUGAAAUGCGUAGAUAUCGGGAGGAACACCAGUGGCGAAGGCGACUACCUGGCCCAUUCUUGACGCUGAGGCGCGAAAGCUAGGGGAGCGAACGGG
rnacentral:rRNA from 1 species